UACGUAGGGUGCAAGCGUUGUCCGGAAUUAUUGGGCGUAAAGAGCUCGUAGGCGGUUUGUCGCGUCGAAUGUGAAAACCCGGGGCUCAACCCCGGGCCUGCAUUCGAUACGGGCAGACUAGAGUUCGGUAGGGGAGUCUGGAAUUCCUGGUGUAGCGGUGAAAUGCGCAGAUAUCAGGAGGAACACCGGUGGCGAAGGCGGCAUCCUGGACCGACAUUGACGCUGAGGCGCGAAAGCCAGGGGAGCAAACGGGAUUAGAUCCGACCGAGUC
rnacentral:rRNA from 1 species